UCGAGAAUAUUCGGCAAUGGGCGAAAGCCUGACCGAGCGACGCCGCGUGAAGGAAGAAGUUCUUCGGAGUGUAAACUUCUUUUCUUAAGGAAUAAUAAAUGCUAGUCAUUUAUGAAGGUACUUAAGGAAUAAGGGGCUGCCAACUACGUGCCAGCAGCCGCGGUAAUACGUAGGCCCCGAGCGUUAUCCGGAUUUAUUGGGCGUAAAGGGUGCGUAGGUGGUUUAUUGCAUCCUUGGUUAAAGCUUCAAGCUCAACUUGGAGAAUGCCAAGGAGAUGAAUAAACUAGAAAGUAUCAGAGGUGGCUGGAACUGCCAGUGUAGGGGUGAUAUCCGUUGAUAUUGGCAGGAACGCCAGAGGUGAAAACGAGCCACUGGGAUAUCUUUGACACUGAGGCACGAA
rnacentral:rRNA from 1 species